rnacentral:rRNA from 1 species
AGUGGAUGGGGAGCAACCUAGUUGUGCGUGUGUAAAGGUAGUGCCAAGAAAAGCGAUGAUCAUGUUGAAAAUCAAUUCCCGGUACCCGAAACCGACACAGGUGGGCAAGUAGAGAAUACUAAGGGGCGCGAGGUAACUCUCUCCAAGGAACUCGGCAAAAUGACCCCGUAACUUAGGGAGAAGGGGUGCCACCGAGAGGUGGUCGCAGUGAAGAGGCCCAGGCGACUGUUUAGCAAGAACAUAGGUCUCUGCAAACUCGAAAGAGGAGGUAUAGGGGCUGACGCCUGCCCAGUGCCGGAAGGUUAAAGAAGUUGGUCAGUUUUAGGAUGAAGCUAGCGACUGAAGCCCCGGUGAACGGCGGCCGUAACUAUAACGGUCCUAAGGUAGCGAAAUUCCUUGUCGGGUAAGUUCCGACCCGCACGAAAGGCGUAACGAUCUGGGCGCUGUCUCGGAGAGAGGCUCGGCGAAAUAGGAUUGUCUGUGAAGAUACGGACUACCUGCAUUUGGACAGAAAGACCCUAUGAAGCUUUACUAUAGCUUGGAAUUGUGUUCGGGCUUCCUGUGCGCAGGAUAGGUGGGAGGCGUAGAAGGUAUUCUUGUGGGGAUACUGGAGCCAACGGUGAGAUACCACUCUCAGGAGGCUAGAAUUCUAACUUAAUUAAGGACAGUUUCAGGUGGGUAGUUUGACUGGGGCGGUCGCCUCCAAAAAGGUAACGGAGGCGUACAAAGGUUCCCUCAGACUGGUUGGAAAUCAGUCGAAGAGUGCAAAGGCAGAAGGGAGCUUGACUGCGAGAAGUACAGUUCGAGCAGGGUGGAAACACGGUCUUAGUGAUCCGACGGUGCUGUGUGGAAGGGCCGUCGCUCAACGGAUAAAAGUUACUCUAGGAUAACAGGCUGAUCUCCCCCAAGAGUUCACAUCGACGGGGAGGCUUGGCACCUCGAUGUCGGCUCAUCGCAACCUGGGGCGGAAGUACGUCCCAAGGGUUGGGCUGUUCGCCCAUUAAAGCGGUACGUGAGCUGGGUUCAGAACGUCGUGAGACAGUUCGGUCCAUAUCCGAUGUAGGCGUGAGAAUAUUGAGAGGAGCCUUCCUUAGUACGAGAGGACCGGGAAGGACGCACCGCUGGUGUACCUGUUAUGAUGCCAAUUGUAAACGCAGGGUAGCCAAGUGCGGAGAGGAUAACCGCUGAAAGCAUCUAAGUGGGAAGCCCACCUCAAGAUGAGUAUUCUGGUGUAAGGUCACGGGAAGACGACCCGUAAAUAGGCACGAGGUGGAAGUGCAGAGAUGUAUGAAGCCGAAGUGUACUAAUAGACCGUCGGCUUGACC